rnacentral:rRNA from 1 species
AGUGAACGCUGGCGGUAGGCCUAACACAUGCAAGUCGAACGGCAGCACAGUAAGAGCUUGCUCUUACGGGUGGCGAGUGGCGGACGGGUGAGGAAUACAUCGGAAUCUACUUUUUCGUGGGGGAUAACGUAGGGAAACUUACGCUAAUACCGCAUACGACCUACGGGUGAAAGCAGGGGAUCUUCGGACCUUGCGCGAUUGAAUGAGCCGAUGUCGGAUUAGCUAGUUGGCGGGGUAAAGGCCCACCAAGGCGACGAUCCGUAGCUGGUCUGAGAGGAUGUUCAGCCAAUCUGAACCUGAGACCCGUCCCAGCCUCCUACGGAAGGCACCGGGGGGGAAUAUUGGACAAUGGGCGCAAGCCUGAUCCAGCCAUACCGCGUGGGUGAAGAAGGCCUUCGGGUUGUAAAGCCCUUUUGUUGGAAAGAAAAGCAGCAGGUUAAUACCCCGCUGUUCUGACGGUACCCAAAGAAUAAGCACCGGCUAACUUCGUG